CGCAAAUGGUUGUUGAGGCUGCCGAUUCAAACCCGACCAUUGUGGCAUUUUCUGCUUUUCGCAUCUCACAGUUUAAAAGUUCUACACCUCCCAUCUGUCCAUCUGUACUUCCUUUUUUUAUACUUACUCAUGCAUUGUUUCCUAUUGCUCUUUGCCUAGGCAAAAUGCAGGCCUCAAGUUGCUCAGCAAGUCGGGUCUUCCUCCAACCAUCUGACCAUCGGUCGGCUGAACUGCAAGCAUUGUAUGCUCUUCUAACCCUCCAUUUUUAGUUUUUCAUUCAUGCUUUUACUACUUCUCCCAACUAUGUCCAAUGGUUGCCCUCUAAACUUUCCAGUUACGUGGCUGCUCCGCGUCCAGUUUCCUAUGUUCCGCCAAAGUUCGCCACUCCGGAAAAGUUGCAUAGCCAUAUUCGUGAUUUAUAUCGGAAAAUUCGUGAACUUGUGGACCUUUACCCCGCUGGUAGAGAUUCGGUAACCACUUUUUCUAAUUACCUUUUGUGUUUAUUGUAUCACACUUGCCAUGUUACUUAUAGUAGCCUUUCAUGCAGGAUCCACACUAUCGGUGUGCUGCGAUGAUCAAAGGGGUUUGAUACUAACACACCAUGGUCAUAUGUUGCAUGCCCUCAUUGCU
rnacentral:lncRNA from 1 species